rnacentral:lncRNA from 1 species
ACAUAUAUAUAAUAUUCCUCUUCGUAGGAAGAAAAAUAAUUUAAAAAUAUUAUGCUCGGAAAAAUUUUCAUAAACCGGCAUCAUUCGAUUUCUCGAUAAAAAUAAACUGCACUUGCUUUGUAAACUUAAUAAAAAUUCCAAGUGCUAAGGUCUCAAAUAAAAAUCAUAAUAAUAUGGUCAUAUUGACACACGUCACAAAAUCACAUAAUCAUUCAGUCACGUAAAUUCACAUAACAUCAC